rnacentral:rRNA from 1 species
AUGAGAUGCUGGGUUUUCUUCUUUCUCUCCACCUUGCCUUGGACCGCUCUCUCGGAAGGUGGUGAGCGCGGGAGCGUCAUGUGGCGCGGCGACUCUUUCGCCGUGGAGGACGCUUCCUCUUCUUUCCUGGCAUCGCCCAGCGGCAACUUCUCGUGCGGAUUCCGCCAGGUGGCCACGAACGCCUACACGUUCGUUAUCUGGUUCACGGCCUCGGCCGACGCCACCGUUGCUUGGACGGCCAACCGCGACGCCCCUGUCAAUGGUAGGGGCUCGCGAGCCGAGCUCCGGCGUGAUGGGUCGCUGGUGCUGCAGGACUUGGACGGCCACGUCGUGUGGAACACCAACAUCAGCACCACGAGCGCGGACCGCGCGGAGCUCCUCGACUCCGGCAACCUCGUGCUGUUCGACGAGUCCGGGCGCACGCUGUGGCAGAGCUUCGACUGGCCCACGGACACGCUCCUCCCGGGGCAGCCCAUCACGCGGUACCGGCGGCUGGUGUCGGCGUCAGCCAGGGGCCUGCCAUACUCCGGCUUCUACAGCUUCUACUUCGACAGCAACAAUAUCCUCAACCUCAUGUACGACGGCCCGGAGAUCAGCAGCAACUACUGGCCGAACCCCUUCAGCAAGUGGUGGGAAAACGGCCGGACGGCGUACAACAGCACGCGCUACGGCAGCCUAGACGUGCGUGGCCGCUUCUCCGCCAGCGACAAUCUGCAGUUCGACGCCUCCGACAUGGGCGCCCACGGCGUCAUGCGGCGCCUCACGCUCGACUACGACGGGAACCUCCGCCUGUACAGCCUCGACGUCUCCGGCGCGGGAACGUGGCAAGUCACGUGGGCGGCCCUCUCAAAUCCCUGCGACGUGCACGGGAUCUGCGGCCGGUACGGACUGUGCACGCAGACGCAGGGGCCGGUGUGCUCGUGCCCGGAGGGGUUCGUCGUCGCCGAAGCCAGCGACUGGAGCAAGGGUUGCCGGCGCACAUUCGACGUGCGGUGCGGCGAGGACGUCUACUUCGCCAAGAUGCCAGGCGCGGACUACUCGGGCUUCGACCUCAACUACACCAAGGCCCUCACCUAUCACGAGUGCCGCCAGAUCUGCCUCGACGACUGCAACUGCGAGGCGUUCGGCUACAAGCACGGCGGCGGCGGCAAAUGCUACACUAAGAUCGCCCUCUGGAACGGCCGCCUUCCGGACAGCUAUCAGGUCAUCUACCUCAAGGUGCCACGCCGCGUCGGGAACCUGGACCCCUCCGUGCUGCACUUCGGCGGCCACGCGUGCACCGUGCUCGAGGUGAACGCCAGCAGCAACAGCUCCUCGUACUCGCACCUGCCGGCCGCACACAGCAAGCUCAACUUCGUCUACUUCUACUCCUUCCUGGCCGGGCUGUUCGUCAUGGAGGCCAUCUUCAUCGCCGCCGGGUAUCUGUUCGUGUUCCGAGCGGACACGGCGGCGCGGCGGAUCCGCGACCAAGGGUACAGCCUGGUGCUCGACCACUUCAAAAGGUUCACGUACGACGAGCUGUCGGCGGCGACCUGCGAGUUCAGCGAUGAGAUCGGGAGGAGCGCGUUGGGGGCUAUUUACAAGGGUGUCUUGGAUGACGGCCGGAGCGUCACAGUGACAAGGCUGGAGGAGGUGAUGCAGGCCGACGAGGUGUUCCGGUCGGAGUUGAGCGCCAUAGGGCGAAUCAACCACAUGAACCUCGUCAGGAUAUGGGGCUUCUGCUCCGAGCACUCGCACCGGCUCCUCGUCUCAGAGCACGUCGACAACGGCUCGCUCGACAAGGCCCUCUUC